AGUGUUAUAGCUCAGUGGUAGAGUGUGUACUUAGCAUGCACGAGGUCCUGGUUCAAUCCCCAGUAACUCUA
rnacentral:tRNA from 1 species